rnacentral:rRNA from 1 species
UACGUAGGGCGCAAGCGUUGUCCGGAAUUAUUGGGCGUAAAGAGCUCGUAGGCGGCUUGUUGCGUCGACUGUGAAAACCCGCGGCUUAACCGCGGGCUUGCAGUUGAUACGGGCAGGCUAGAGUUCGGUAGGGGAGACUGGAAUUCCUGGUGUAGCGGUGAAAUGCGCAGAUAUCAGGAGGAACACCGGUGGCGAAGGCGGGUCUCUGGGCAGUAACUGACGCUGAGGAGCGAAAGCGUGGGGAGCGAACAGG